UACGUAGGGGGCAAGCGUUAUCCGGAUUUACUGGGUGUAAAGGGAGCGCAGGCGGUUCUGCAAGUCUGAUGUGAAAGCCCGGGGCUCAAUCGCGGGACUGCAUUGGAAACUGCGGGACUGGAGUGUCGGAGGGGUAAGCGGAAUUCCUGGUGUAGCGGUGAAAUGCGUAGAUAUCAGGAGGAACACCGGUGGCGAAGGCGGCUUACUGGACGAUGACUGACGCUGAGGCUCGAAAGCGUGGGGAGCAAACA
rnacentral:rRNA from 1 species